rnacentral:lncRNA from 1 species
AUGUGGAUCUGCCCACAACUUGGCAGCUCUGAAAUGAACUGUUACGAUGUUUUUCUGUCCCCUGUUGGUUGCUAUCAUGGAAUCAUUUGCAGAUUUGACAUUACUGACAGCAAGGAGCAGUCCUCCAGGCAAGCUAGACCCAAGACAGCAGUAUCAGGAAGCAUGUGGAUCAGGAUCCACGUGGAUUGCCAUCUGUGUGGGAAGGUAUUUCAUGAGCCUGUCUGCACCAAAAAGUUAUCUAGAAGAGCAGAGGUAUGGAAGAAAUGCAGAAAGAAAACACAACAGCCUGAAUUUUGGAAGAGCUACCAUUUGCUCACAACUCAAGCUCCAGUAACAAAUUCUCUUUAGGUUUCCAAUAAUGGCAAUGUCUAGACAAAUCCUGAAAAGGCUACAGUCAAAUCUACAGUGUCAAAAUGUACCCAAGAGCUUGUCUACAUGACAAGCUUGUCUACAGGAACAGAUUUAUGUCAAAGUGAGAAACGUCAAAGCACAUAUUUUGAUGCAAUUGUGCUCAAACAAACAGCCAUCUGCCACUUCACCAUGACUCAUUGCUUCUGCAUGGGGAAGACUGUCAGAGACUCAUUGUGUCACUUUACUACACUGGUAGUCAGGAAUACUGACCAGCGUGCGUGUUUAUUGCAUCCUGUAGUUGAGUAGCUGUAAGUUCACUUCUGCAUUAACACCUGUGGUUAUGGCAGGAUUUUGUAAUGCAGCAGCUGUGGCAAUUAGAGCUUCCUGUUCCAUAGGAAUGUCUGAACCUACAAAUAAGAUAAGGGAUGAAAAUGACAGGACAGAUGAGGAGGAUGAGACUGAGACAAUUCUCCAAGAGCAUUUUCUCUUGUAACAGCUAAACUCAGUGUGUUGUCACAUCUGGUCCCAAGAAUCAGGCAUGGACUGGUGGGAGAGCAUCAUGUUACAGACUUGGGACCUUCCAAGAAGUUGCAACAUAUCAGAAUGACUGAGGACACUUCCUAGCAAUGUGCCCUGAGCCUAUCUAUCUCAGAGAGGCUGAAGUAGUUGCCUUCACUGUUAAGAAAUGCAUGGCCAUCUUACCACCUGUGACUGCUACUGGUCAGCUGCCACAGGCAAAUCACCCACUGAGUCUGCUGUGAUGAAGGUGUGUGUAAUGCCAUUAAAAAAGUACUGUCCACAUUAUAAGACUUUAAAUCCUCAGCAUCCCUUGGCAUUCACAAGGUGUCCCAGCAGCAUUGGAGCAACUGACAAAACCCAUGCUCUAAUUCUUGGUUCCACCUAUACUCUUUAAUAUUCAAAUGGAGAAAGGGUUUUUCUCUGUUGUGUUACAAGACCCAGCUGACCAGUGGGGAAUGUCCACUAACAUCAGCGCAGGUUGGUCUGGAAAAAUCCCUGAAGCUGGAAUAUUUAAGAACACUCCCUUCUCUUCCCUACUGAAAAAUGGUGGUUUGCCAGUCUGGCAAACAGCACUGAGUGUCUCACCUCUUGUCUUUUGGGAUGCUGCCUUCUCUCUACUGCUAUCUUUAAUUAAGUCUUUCACUUGGAAGUCAGACCAUAAACUAUGAUUUCACCUUAGCAGCUCCAGGAUGACAACUGAAUAUGCAUUUGUUGGAAUACUUAAGGUAUCUGAAUAAUAUCUACCAAAGAUUAUAACUGAAUUUCAUGUUUCCUGUACAUCUGGACAAUGGAUAGUGCCUCACCAAAGCCUAGGAGGCAGAGGUGGAGAGAGAGGGACUUAAGAGGGGUUUGACCAGCCUGUGAGAUACCUGCUUCUAAGUCGAUGGCUAGAAAAUGUUAUUUAAAGGUUUGCUUUUGGGAACUGGCUUGUAGGUAAAGUAGAUAUUACAUUAGAAGAAUGGUUCAGGGCAAUGGCAAAGGUUAACUGAUUUCUAAAAGCCUGUUUGUGACAACUUUCCUUCAAGGCCCACUGUGUCUGACACAGGCAAGCAGCAAGCAGAAACGCAGCCUGGUAAGUUGAAGACAUGUACCACACCAUUCCAUAACAGAGCUAAGGGCAAAGCAUUGGUGCCAGGUCACAGUGCCAAACUGCAGAGCCCUUGGGAUUUCCAGUUUUGGAGAACAGGCCAAAUUAGGAGACCCAAUAAAAGCUCAAAUUAGGAUGUGUGCA